rnacentral:tRNA from 1 species
GCAGAAGUGGCGGAAUUGGUAGACGCGCUAGCUUCAGGUGCUAGUGUCCGUUAGGACGUGAGAGUUCAAGUCUCUCCUUCUGCACCA